rnacentral:rRNA from 1 species
CCUACGGGAGGCAGCAGUGGGGAAUAUUGCACAAUGGGGGAAACCCUGAUGCAGCGACGCCGCGUGAGUGAAGAAGUAUUUCGGUAUGUAAAGCUCUAUCAGCAGGGAAGAAGAAAGACGGUACCUGACCAAGAAGCCCCGGCUAACUACGUGCCAGCAGCCGCGGUAAUACGUAGGGGGCAAGCGUUAUCCGGAUUUACUGGGUGUAAAGGGAGCGUAGACGGCAGCACAAGUCUGGAGUGAAAUCCCGGGGCUUAACCCCGGAACUGCUUUGGAAACUGUGCGGCUGGAGUGCAGGAGGGGUAAGCGGAAUUCCUAGUGUAGCGGUGAAAUGCGUAGAUAUUAGGAGGAACACCGGUGGCGAAGGCGGCUUACUGGACUGUAACUGACGUUGAGGCUCGAAAGCGUGGGGAGCAAACAGGAUUAGAUACCCGGGUAGUC